AGUACAGAGGUUAGGAGAAAAAAGGGAGAAAACUGUUCGAGAGCGACUCGUAAAAUCUCGGUAACAUUGACAGCUGUGCGCGCGUCAGCUGUGUCAUAUUAUAAGUGCGCAAAUCAUUGUAAAAGUACAUCUGAGAAUUCGAUCUAAAGUAUUGUAACAAUGGGAGGAAUUUUAAUCACAUCUUACUCCGGCGUGCUCCAGCACUAAGAGGCUUUACUCGAAUCCCAUGGCACUACAUCAUUUUGGACGAAGGUCACAAAAUUCGGAAUUCUGAGGGUAACUAGAACAAAAAGAUUUUCAACGCCUCACCGCUUACUUCUAACUGGAAGUCUGAUGCAAAAUUCCUUAAAAGAAUUGUGGUCCUUGCUCGACUUCAUAUUACCAGGAAAAAUGGGGGCUCCGAGCAAUCAAGGGAUAAAACUCAAGUAACGAUUCUUACUGAAGUCUUGUGACAGCUGAAAAAUGCAACGGGAUUCAUUGAACGGAAGUCUUGGUCAAUCUGAUGAUUUAGGUGUACCGCUUGUUUGCAGUAUAACUUCUCAUUUAAAGAAUUCUAAUCAUAUACUCAGGAUAUCGUUGAUGCUAUCACGAAACAGCUCGUUUGUGCGCUCAUCUCGACACUGUGGGUACCCCUUCCGAUGAUGGAAAGAAGUCAAAAAAGAUUUGAGAGGCAUCAAGGGUGACUUGAAAAGGCCGUUUGAAAAAGCAUGGAAAGGUUACGAUACCAAGUACGCAGAAAUGGAAAAGGAGUAGAAGCAACACCAAGUACCCGGAGGCUGACCUCAUCCGCUCGGAAGUUACACCCGCUGAAAUUGCUGACUAAAUGGAAAAGGAGAGACGAUUGUUCCAAUUACAGAUUUGCGAGAUUCGUUCGCAAAUGUCAAACGAUGGCCACACGAGAUCGACUAAGACUGCAAUAUAGUCAAUAGGGUUCUCGCGGAUAACAAAAAUGAUGCUCCUAACCAGAAAGAACUGAUCAAAGAUAUUGAACGUUUUCCCACCUAAAUGGAUAUUUAACUCGGUUAAAUAUCCAUGAGACCUUGGUUAGGCAUCGUCAAUGUUGAAGAGGCGAUCCAGGGCAAUUCGACGACGACAUCACUAGUAGCGGCAGAGUUAUCGGCAACUACAAUGGCAAUUCGCAUGGGAACCUCGAGUGAUUGGACCGGUGGCUCAACGAGAUCCAAUCCAAAACAUAAUGCAAAAACCGUGAUGACGGGAAAAAGCGGAACUCGAGGACGAUGGAAUUGUUAAAACGGAGGUCUGAGCGAGAGAAGACAAUACACGGAGACAACUUCAAAGACGAGCCAACGAAUCCCAUUAUCGAGUGGAAGGACAGAGAGGAAAAACACGAUACAAAUAUGCGAAGCACUGUGAUACAUUACGAAAAAUGUAUUUACCAACGAGAUAGUCACCGAAAAUAAUACCAACUGCGCAAAUUGAUGCGCAAAUGAUAGACGCGUCAGUGGAGGAAACUUGAGAUCGACAACCUUCUUUACUUUCCAUUCUAUGAAUAUGGAUUUAUCUGUAUUUGUUAAUAAACUUGUAAUUCAUCGUA
rnacentral:lncRNA from 1 species